CGUGACCGGAGAGCAUCCCCACCCCGUCCCUACUCCCUGCGACACCCGGCUGUGCUCUCCCCCAUCUCGCCCUCCCGUGUGACCUUUGACGACAACCUCCAGCCGGAAUUCCUGCUCCCCGAAUCCUCUCCAGCCUGCGCUCCAGGGACUCCAUCCAGGCCGAUUCAUCCUCUCCAAAGAUGGCUCAAAUGAUUCCUGGAGCUUUUGAUGGUACUGGUACAGCUAUGCAUCAUAGGGUGCAACUUUAUUCAGGUCCGAUGUCAACAUUUUAAAUGUUGAUGAUUUGUCGGAUGGCAAAAUUUGAGGAGGUACUUUUUGUGUGAAUAAUUUGAGGAGGUACUGAUUGUGGAAGAUGAAAAUGGCAAUAAUUGUCGUAUGGGAAUAUGACACAAUGGAAGAUAAUGAUGUCCUUGUCAAGUAUAUAAGGUUUGUUCUAAUUGCGAAGCUGUUGUGGUUCUUUACAAGGGUGUGCAACCACACAAGUAACAUGGAACUCCUUUUCUACAAUUCUUAUGCUAGAUCAUGAGGGAAACACUGACCUGUUUGUGUCAUCUAGAUCAUGAGGAUACAGCGCGACAUGUAUGUAUUUCACGAUUUCAAGGUCAUUUUGUUGUGUAUGCAGAAAUAAUGCACCAAAUAUUAUACACUAUAGUAAGCUUGUUUGCGAUUAGUGCACCGUCUCACACUCAGUUAUCCGUGUUUUAAUGCCGUUGCUAGUCUUUUCAUAAUAUUUCUCAAAGCAUUUUCAUGUGACUUGAUCCUUUCGUGUUUGCAGUGACCACUAUUGUUACCGGUGGAAUUGAUGUAGCAGUGUUGGGGGCUCGCAGCAAUGAUGUGACUGUUGUGGUUAUGAAUUUAGCUGCUACUCCUCUCGAGCUAAGUGUUAAGAGAGCAUUCAGUUGUGAAAACCGAUUCUACUGGUUCUAGAUGGCAUUCAUGCUUAACAGGGAGUCUCCUCUGUUGGCCUGAGAUGCAGAUGCGUGCGGCAGAAUGUUGUCUCCACGGCGCCGGGAAGUGCUGCGGCGGCGAUUGGCUAGAGUGCGGGUCUUGUCGCCUGGAAGUGUUCCGACGGCGAUCAGCGUG